AAAUGCAUUACAGGGCAAGAUCACCCUUGGCAGAUAUCUAUUACACUCCCAUUCUUGCAUAAUGCAUAAAUGUCUGUGGUGAUGAGCUCUCUGCCAAAGGAGAUUUGCCCGGUAAUUCUCUU
rnacentral:pre_miRNA from 1 species